rnacentral:rRNA from 1 species
AGAGUUUGAUCCUGGCUCAGAUUGAACGCUGGCGGCAGGCCUAACACAUGCAAGUCGAGCGGUAACACAGAGGAGCUUGCUCCUUGGGUGACGAGCGGCGGACGGGUGAGUAAUGCCUGGGGAUCUGCCCGAUAGAGGGGGAUAACUACGGGAAACUGUAGCUAAUACCGCAUAACGUCUACGGACCAAAGUGGGGGCUCUUCGGACCUCAUGCUAUCGGAUGAACCCAGGUGGGAUUAGCUAGUUGGUGAGGUAAUGGCUCACCAAGGCGACGAUCUC